rnacentral:rRNA from 1 species
UGGGGAAUUGUUCGCAAUGGGCGCAAGCCUGACGACGCAACGCCGCGUGGAGGACGAAGAUCUUCGGGUCGUAAACUCCUUUCGAUCGGGAAGAAUGGCUUCCGGGUUAAUAGCCCGGAAGAAUGACGGUACCGAGAGAAGAAGCCCCGGCUAACUCUGUGCCAGCAGCCGCGGUAAUACAGGGGGGGCAAGCGUUGUUCGGAAUUACUGGGCGUAAAGGGCUCGUAGGCGGCCAACUAAGUCCGACGUGAAAUCCCAAAGCUUAACUUUGGAACUGCGUCGGAUACUGGAUGGCUUGAAUUCGGGAGAGGGAUGCAGAAUUCCAGGUGUAGCGGUGAAAUGCGUAGAUAUCUGGAGGAAUACCGGUGGCGAAGGCGGCAUCCUGGACCGAAAUUGACGCUGAGGAGCGAAAGCUAGGGGAGCAAACGGG